AUGUUUGCUUCUCCGUUGUUUAUAAUUAAAUUGGUUAUUCAGACAAAGAGUGUUGAAUUCAUGCCAUUUUAUCUCUCCCUUUCCACCUUCCUAAUGAGCACGUCUUUUUUAACUUACGGAUUACUCAGCGAUGAUAUCUUCAUUUAUCUGCCAAAUGGGAUAGGAACCAUUUUGGGAGUGACUCAGUUGAUAUUAUAUUUCCACUAUGAGAGUAAAUCUAGGAUAGACGCCGAAGAACCAUUGAUCGUGUCAUAUGCAUGA